rnacentral:rRNA from 1 species
AGGACGACGCUGGCGGCGUGCCUAAUACAUGCAAGUCGAACGGUCUUUCUAUGGAAGGCUUGCUUCCACUGAGAAGAUAGUGGCGAACGGGUGAGUAACACGUGGGUAACCUGCCCAUAAGAGGGGGGAUAACAUCCGGAAACGGGUGCUAAUACCGCAUAGUUUUCUUGAUCGCAUGAUUGAGAAAGGAAAGACGGCCUUUGUGCUGUCGCUUAUGGAUGGACCCGCGGCGUAUUAGUUAGUUGGUGAGGUAACGGCUCACCAAGACGAUGAUACGUAGCCGACCUGAGAGGGUGAUCGGCCACAUUGGGACUGAGACACGGCCCAAACUCCUACGGGAGGCAGCAGUAGGGAAUCUUCCGCAAUGGACGAAAGUCUGACGGAGCAACGCCGCGUGAGUGAAGAAAGGUUUUCGGAUCGUAAAACUCUGUUGUCAGAGAAGAACAAAUUGGAGAGUAACUGCUCCAGCCUUGACGGUAUCUGACCAGAAAGCCACGGCUAACUACGUGCCAGCAGCCGC